rnacentral:lncRNA from 1 species
UCUCUCUCCAGGCCAUGGAUUCCACCCAGAACUGACAUCCUGGCCUCCAGGCUUCAGGCCAUUAUUGGCUUGAAGGUGGGGCUUCACCAGGGACCCUCCCCUUCCUGCCUAGUAGCCUAUCUGCCUCCUGGGCUGACGUGUCAGCCAGUGCACCCAGGAUGUUCGUGCUGAGGCACCUGCGGACCCGUGCGGGGCUGCCCUCAGGCCCCACGCAGCCCCCCUCCCGUACUCGUUGACGUCCAAAGUCUGGAGGAGGCCGAGGGUUCAGGGCACUGGCAUGCCAGUGCCACCCCAAGCAUGGACACACCCGGCCUGGUUGCAGGAGCUCCCAGGCUCGGCCACAACUUUGCUCCCACCCGGAGUGGGUGCCAGGAGCGGGGAGAGGCCAGGCCCUGGGAGCAGGAACUUUCAAGCCUGCAGAGACAAGGGACUUCCUGGGCCCCGAGAGUGCAGCGAUGCCUGGGUCCUGGGCCGUGGCUGGGUGGCUGCAGCUGCACCUGGAGUGCGGGGCUCCUGGAGUGUCCCGCUCCUGCCCCACUGACUCCGUACAGUGCAGGGCUCCCCACUGUUGCCGGCCCCUGCUGGCUCCGCGAAGUAUGCAGCCCUGGCCGCGCCUACCCCGCUGCAGUGGAUGUCUUUGCAGCAGCCCCUCCAGAUGGGCCGCCGCUGCCAUCAGUAGUAUUUGGAAGAUAUCCUACAAUCAAAAGGAGAAAUUGACAAGUUUAUAAACAGAAUGAGUACAUUACUGUCUCAUCACGUGACACAUCAAGGAUUCACCCAGCAUUCCCUAGAGAGAAGGCUUCUCCUCUCUCAUGGUCGCCAGGACCAGCUGGAACAACCAGUGCUCUGGCUGAAGACCUCUACAGGUAGACAGGCGGCAAGAUACUGCUGGGGCCCACUUUCUUCAUCAUUUUCUGGUGAUGGUUUACUUCAUGUAG